UACGAGGGGUGCUAGCGUUAUUCGGAAUUACUGGGCGUAAAGGGCGUGUAGGCGGGCAUAUAAGUCAGUUGUUAAAGACAUCGCAUACCGAUGGAAAGGCAAUUGAAACUAUAAGUCUUGAGGAUGGGAGAGAGCAGUGGAAUUCUCGGAGUAGCGGUAAAAUGCGUAGAUCUCGAGAGGAACACCGAUGGCGAAGGCAGCUGCUUGGCCCAUAUCUGACGCUGAGGCGCGAAAGCGUGGGUAGCAAACA
rnacentral:rRNA from 1 species